UAAAAGUACUAUAUUUCAUAAGAAAUAUUCUAUUAUUAAAGAUAUUACAAGAGUUUGUUGGAAAAGUUGCUACGACCAAUUUGGGAUUUGACAAUUUCAAAUUAUAAGCUCUGCACGGUAGCAGAAAUUUGUGAACAUCAAAUCGCAAGUUGAUGGUGUCAGGUUUUCAAACACAUUAAUGUUAUUCAUAUUUCUAAUCCAAAUACUAGGAAAAUGUUUAAAGUAAAACAUGUGAAUUAACCCAGAAAUGUUGACACAACAUAGACGUAUUUACACUUCUAUGCCAAUUUGUCCGCCAUUACAUAAAAUCACACAGGGCCUAAAAUAAAAUAUUGUUUGUUUCCCCAAUCCCGACCGACCC
rnacentral:lncRNA from 1 species